rnacentral:lncRNA from 1 species
GAGACGUUCCAGAGAUGUCUUAAGCAUUCUGGUCAUCAUGGAGAUAUGUGGAGGCUCCUCAGUGACUACGUUGGUGGGAGUGUCACUCGAAUGUAUGUGUUCUGUGUGUCUGUGUGCGUGCACACAUGCAAAUGUAUGUUUAAACAUGCACCAAUCUCAUUACUUUAUAUUCACACCACUUCAGUUCUAGGCCCUGCCAGCAACAUGUCUCCAAAGGCUGCUGGAGGGUUGGUACCCAAGACAGAAGAGCUGGUGCUGGUGCUGGUCUGCGGAGUAAGAGGAGGGUGACUUAAUGCCCUUAGAGAAAUCAUCAGUUCCUGCCAUUUCACACAGUUCCCCUUGGUUCGGAGUACAUAAUAUCGGAAGGCUAGUCUCGUUGGUAGUAGCAAAGACACUUAUUUUUCCACUUGCCACCUUUUUCUAUAUCUCCAGUAAUUUGAAAAACAUUUUGGUUGGAACUGAUUUUUGUUUUUGGCAAAAAGAUAAAUAUUUUUAAUAGAAAAAGAUAUAUAUUUUAAAUAUUUCCCCCAAAGUACUACUUUCAUUUUAAGAAAUUGCAUAGCAGUAGCAACAAAUUUUAGUUUCAGGUGCAGAGUGAAAAGCUACUUCCUGUUAAGUGAACAUUCCAGACGCUGGAUCCAACUUACUGACUUUCCCCUUUGCACCUACUGUUGUGCCUGGAAUGGUAUCAACAAUUGUUGUUUUCCAAACUUCCAGCUGAGCAGUAGCCCUUCACACAGAGGCAAAGUGGUUUAGGUUAAGGAGCGACAAGGCUUCACCUCUGAUCUGCUCGGCUUUGGAGGAGGAAAAAACCACUAAGGUAUUAUCUGUAUUUUAAAAUGCUUCCCUUACUUAACUAAAACCUGAACACUUUUUGCUUCUGAAAGAAUUCUGUGUCCUGUAGCUCGCUUGCUUGCUUGUGAAGUUUGUCACAAAUGGAGUUGUCAAUGUGAAUUACUUGGAGACGGAGAAAGACAAGAAAAGGAAAAUAGAGCGAUGGGAGGGUUUGUGGGCUAGAAUGAGAGAAAUACCAUUUCACAAAACAAACAUUUCUCAUGAAUCAUUGGAAUCUGAUUCACCCUACAAAUUUCCCAUGCCCUACUAACUCUGUUCUUUGUGUAUAUGCAUUCUGUGUUUUUUAUUAAAGGGGAAGUUCUGAGAGGUUGGAGGAUCAAGGUCAUUCUGAUGGGAAGUCCAAGAAAUGCGGUGCCCUGGGAAGGGGGAGCUCAGCCCUUUUCCAUAGAGUGGGAGAGACACUUUGGGAACAUGCUCAUGACCCGUUGAUUGUAUCUGCUGGAAGAAGUCAUCUGGGCCUGUUGGGUUAGUGUCAAAUCAGGCGAUUAAGCAUCCAGCCCUUGGCCCCUUUCGUAUAAUUGCCUCUUUUUAAAAGGUUAAUUCGCCUUGGCUGAAGCUUCCCAGGAAAACC